rnacentral:rRNA from 1 species
UGGGUAACCUGCCUCAAAGAGGGGAAUAGCCUCCCGAAAGGGGAGAUUAAUACCGCAUAAUAUGUUUAGGUCGCAUGACUUUAACAUCAAAGGAUUUUCUUUUAAGAAAUUCCACUUUGAGAUGGACCCGCGGCGCAUUAGCUAGUUGGUGAGGUAACGGCUCACCAAGGCAACGAUGCGUAGCCGACCUGAGAGGGUNAUCGGCCACAUUGGAACUGAGACACGAUCCAGACCUCGUACGGGA